CCUGCCUGUAAGACUGGGAUAACUCCGGGAAACCGGGGCUAAUACCGGAUGGUUGUUUGAACCGCAUGGUUCAGACAUAAAAGGUGGCUUCGGCUACCACUUACAGAUGGACCCGCGGCGCAUUAGCUAGUUGGUGAGGUAACGGCUCACCAAGGCGACGAUGCGUAGCCGACCUGAGAGGGUGAUCGGCCACACUGGGACUGAGACACGGCCCAGACUCCUACGGGAGGCAGCAGUAGGGAAUCUUCCGCAAUGGACGAAAGUCUGACGGAGCAACGCCGCGUGAGUGAUGAAGGUUUUCGGAUCGUAAAGCUCUGUUGUUAGGGAAGAACAAGUGCCGUUCAAAUAGGGCGGCACCUUGACGGUACCUAACCAGAAAGCCACGGCUAACUACGUGCCAGCAGCCGCGGUAAUACGUAGGUGGCAAGCGUUGUCCGGAAUUAUUGGGCGUAAAGGGCUCGCAGGCGGUU
rnacentral:rRNA from 2 species